AAGCUACAAGGGUGUAUGGUGAAUGCCUUGGUGUCAGAAGUCGAAGAAAGACGUGAUAAGCUGCGAUAAGCCUCGGGUAGGAGCAAAUAUCCUGUGAUCCGGGGAUUUCUGAAUGGGGAAACCCUUAUAUAUGAAAGUAUAUAAACAGUAAGAGGAAGGUUUGGCCUUCGGGCUUUAAGGUACUCUUAUAUGAGACAACCUAGGGAAGUGAAACAUCUCAGUACCUAGAGGAAAAGAAAUCAAAAGAGAUUCCCAAAGUAGUGGCGAGCGAAAUGGGAACAGUCUAAACCGUCCUCCGCACCUUAUCCAUUAAGGUGGAUAAAGUGCGUGGGGCGGGGUUGUAGGGCUUGUUCGGUUUAGAACCGGGAAGUUACCAAGUAUCACAUUAGUUGAAUAGUCUGGAAAGUCUAACCAUAGCAGGUGACAGUCCUUUAAACGAAAAUGUAGAUACCUUCCAACAAGUACCUGAGUACUACUGGGCACGUGCAAUCCGGUAGGAAUCUGGGGAGACCACUCUCCAAGACUAAACACUCUCUGACAACCGAUAGUGAACCAGUACCGCGAGGGAAAGGCGAAAAGAACCCCUAACGGGGAGUGAAAUAGAACCUGAAACCGUACAUCUACAAGCUGUAGUAGCACUAUGCCGUAGCAAUACGGAAUGUGCGACUGCGUGCCUGUUGAAGAAUGAUCCAGCGAGUUAAUAGGCCGAGCAAGGUUAAGGGCUGAAAAGGUCCGGAGCCGUAGUGAAAGCGAGCAUGAAAUAUGCGAUUAGUUCGUUCUAUUAGACCCGAAGCCAAGUGAUCUAACCCUGUCCAGGAUGAAGCUUGCGUAACAGCGAGUGAAGGUCCGGAGUGUUGAACGUUGAAAAGUUCCUACAUGAGGUGGGGUUAGGGGUGAAAGGCCAAUCGAACUUGGUGAUAGCUGGUUCUCCUCGAAAUAGCUUUAGGGCUAGCGUCGUAAUUUAACCCGGGGGGGUAAAGCACUGGUUGAUGUAGGGGAAGCGACCCUUCUUCCGAAUUCAGUCAAACUCUGAAUACCCCGGCGGAUAUUACGGCAGUCAGUUCGUGAGGGAUAAGCUUCACGUGCGAAAGGGAAACAGCCCAGACCGUCAAUUUAGGUCCCAAAAUGUAUGCUAAGUGGUAAAGGAUGUGGAUUUACUUAAACAGCUAGGAGGUUGGCUUAGAAGCAGCCAUCCUUUGAAGAGUGCGUAAUAGCUCACUAGUCGAGUGAAUCUGCGCCGAAGAUGACUCGGGGCUAAGCAUACUACCGAAAUUACGGGUUGCAGAGUGAUUCGUCAUUUUGCAGCGGUAGAGGAGCGUAAUUAACGCAGCGAAGGUAUACCGUAAGGAGUGCUGGAGCGUUAAUUAGUGAGAAUGCUGGAAUGAGUAGCGAUAAGGAAGGUGAGAAUCCUUCCCACCGAAAAUCCAAGGAUUCCUAGAGCAAUGUUCGUCAGCUCAGGGUUAGUCGGUCCUAAGCUCAGGCCGAAAGGCGUAGGCGAAAGGGCAUCCGGUUAAUAUUCCGGAACUAUGUUAAGUGCGUCAUCACUCAGGGAGGGACGCAGGAAGGUAAACCGGCCGGUUAGUGAUAUACCGGUGAAAGGUCGUAGAUAGGAUUGAUAGGCAAAUCCGUCAGUCCGUUAAGUCGAAAGCCGAUGCGGGUUUGUAGCAAUACAAGCGAAGCGGUCUAACUACACUGCCAAGAAAAUCUUCGUGGGGAGUGCUUAAUAUAACCGUACCGUAAACCGACACAGGUGGAUGGGUAGAAAAUACUAAGGUGCGCGAGAUAACCAUCGUCAAGGAACUAGGCAAACUAGCUCCGUAACUUCGGAAGAAGGAGUGCCUGAGUAGGGCUGUAGCAAUACAGUUUGAAAAGGUCGCAGUGAAAUGGGCUUCGUGACUGUUUAACAAAAACUUAGGGCUCUGCUGAAAUCACAAGAUGAUGUAUAGGGCCUGAUGCCUGCCCGGUGCCGGAAGGUCAAGGGGAAGGGUUAGCCGCAAGGCGAAGCUCCGAACUUAAGCCCCGGUAAACGGCGGCGGUAACUAUAACCGUCCUAAGGUAGCGAAAUUCCUUGUCGGGUAAGUUCCGACCUGCACGAAUGGCAUAACAAAGAAGCCGCUGUCUCGACGAUGGGCUCGGCGAAAUUGUGGUGCAAGUGAAGACGCUUGCUGCAUGCAACAAGACGAAAAGACCCUAUGGAGCUUUACUGUAACUUGUCAUUGAAAUACGGUUUACAAUACGUAGGAUAGCUGGGAGCCUUUGAAACAUUCCUUGAGGGGGGUGUGGAGGCAACGGUGAAAUACCAGCUUUUGUGGAUUGUGUUUCUAACUUAUACCCGUGAAUCCGGGUUGAGGACAUUGGCAGGCGGGCAGUUUGACUGGGGCGGUCGCCUCCUAAAGAGUAACGGAGGCGUUCAAAGAUUCUCUCAGAGUGAAUAGAAAUCACUCAUCGAGCGCAAAGGUAGAAGAGAGUUUGACUGCGAGGACGACGGUCCGAGCAGGUGCGAAAGCAGGACUUAGUGAUCCGGUGGUCCCUCGUGGGAGGGCCAUCGCUCAACGGAUAAAAGCUACCCUGGGGAUAACAGGCUGAUCGGGCCCAAGAGUUCACAUCGACGGCUCGGUUUGGCACCUCGAUGUCGGCUCAUCACAUCCUCCCGCUGAAGCAGGUGGGAAGGGUUGGACUGUUCGUCCAUUAAAGUGGUACGUGAGCUGGGUUCAGUACGUCGUGAGACAGUACGGUCUCUAUCUGUUGUAUGCGUAGGAAACUUGAGAGGAGUUGUCCAUAGUACGAGAGGGCCUGGAUGAACGAACCUCCUGUAUCUCAGUUGUCGUGUCAACGGCAUAGCUGAUUAGCGGUGUUCGGUAGGGAUAAGUGCUGAAAGCAUAUAAGCACGAAACCCGCCUCAAGAUAAGGUUUCCCUGGACUUUAUGUCCCAUAAGACCCCCGGAAGACUACCGGGUUGAUAGGCAGAAAGUGUACGCAUAGUAAUAUGUUUAGCUAAUCUGUACUAAUAGGUCGUGAGGCUUGGCC
rnacentral:rRNA from 1 species